rnacentral:lncRNA from 1 species
ACGAAGUACACAAGCAGUCCAGUCGAAGAUCCAGGAAUUGGGGGUCCCUAGUUUUAAAUCGUGAGGUGUACUGAUUCUCUGGGAUCGGCCCCAAGACUUCAGCCUAGGUCUACCUAGGCAAUAACCUCUCAAAGACUGGAGCCAUUCUAGUGUCUAAGCCCAGGUUUGAGGCUGUGAUGACUCAACGCGGCAUCGCCUCCCCUUGCUAAACUGUGGUCUCCGCCUACCCUCAAUCAAUCUCAAGGAAGUACUUUGGGCGCCAGGAUUCUCAGCACUUAGCUGGUGGGUGAAGGGGUUCACCCUCUUCCCCAUAUCCCACCUUCCCUCCUCCCAGUCUUCCGGAGUGCGGAACUCCUGCCGGGAUCCAAGAGCAGGCUCUUGGUAGUCGAAGAAGGAUAUAACCUCCAGACCCGGAAUUUAAGACGCAAGAACCAGCCAGCAAAUGUGGCAGCCGAGCAUGCGAG